rnacentral:rRNA from 1 species
UCGCCAGACUCCUACGGGAGGCAGCAGUGGGGGAUAUUGCACAAUGGGGGAAACCCUGAUGCAGCGACGCCGCGUGAGUGAAGAAGUAAUUCGUUACGUAAAGCUCUAUCAGCAGGGAAGAAAAUGACGGUACCUGACUAAGAAGCCCCGGCUAACUACGUGCCAGCAGCCGCGGUAAUACGUAGGGGGCGAGCGUAUCCGGAUUCACCGGGUGUAAAGGGAGCGUAGACGGCCAUGCAAGCCAGGGGUGAAAGCCCGGGGCCCAACCCCGGGACUGCCCUUGGAACUGUGCGGCUAGAGUGCGGGAGGGGCAGGCGGAAUUCCUGGUGUAGCGGUGAAAUGCGUAGAUAUUAGGAGGAACACCAGUGGCGAAGGCGGUCUGCUGGACAGCAACUGACGGUGAGGCGCGAAAGCGUGGGGAGCAAACAGGAUUAGAUACCCUCGUAU